rnacentral:ncRNA from 1 species
UUAGAUACCCUGGUAGUCCACGCCGUAAACGAUGUCGACUAGCCGUUGGGUCCCUCGCGGACUUUGUGGCGCAGUUAACGCGAUAAGUCGACGCCUGGGGAGUACGGCCGCAAGGUUAAAACUCAAAUGAAUUGACGGGGGCCCGCACAAGCGGUGGAGCAUGUGGUUUAAUUCGAUGCAACGCGAAGAACCUUACCUACCCUUGACAUCCUGCGAACUUGGUAGAGAUACCUUGGUGCCUUCGGGAACGCAGAGACAGGUGCUGCAUGGCUGUCGUCAGCUCGUGUUGUGAAAUGUUGGGUUAAGUCCCGUAACGAGCGCAACCCUUGUCCUUAUUUGCCAGCGGGUAAUGCCGGGAACUCUAAGGAGACUGCCGGUGACAAACCGGAGGAAGGUGGGGACGACGUCAAGUCAUCAUGGCCCUUACGGGUAGGGCUACACACGUGCUACAAUGGUCGGUACAAAGGGUUGCCAACUCGCGAGAGUGCGCUAAUCCCAUAAAGCUGAUCUCAGUCCGGAUCGGAGUCUGCAACUCGACUCCGUGAAGUCGGAAUCGCUAGUAAUCGUGAAUCAGAAUGUCACGGUGAAUACGUUCCCGGGCCUUGUACACACCGCCCGUCACACCAUGGGAGUGGACUGCACCAGAAGUGGUUAGCCUAACCUUCGGGAGGGCGAUCACCACGGUGUGGUUCAUGACUGGGGUGAAGUCGUAACAAGGUAGCCGUAGGGGAACCUGCGGCUGGAUCACCUCCUUA